rnacentral:vault_RNA from 1 species
GGGUUGGCAUUAGCUCAAGUGGUUACUUUCUCACUCUGGACUUCCCAUCCAUCUAUCCCUGCGCUGGAGUUCAAGACCCGCAGGUGCUUUCUGACCCUUUA